CCUUCCAAAAUAUUAGCUUUUUAAUGUAAAAUUGCUUGUUCUGAAUUCAAGGAACGAGCAAUGCAAAAUCCGGACACUAUGCUUGGUAUACGCGGAGAUGGAAGGUGUUUGUUUCGAUCUGUGGUUCAUGGAGCUUGUGUAAGAGCAGGAAAGCCAUGUCCAGGUGACAGCUAUCAGAAAGAACUUGCAGAUGAUCUUAGGGCGAAGGUAGCAGAUGAAUUCAUUAAGAGGAGGGCUGACACUGAAUGGUUUCUUGAAGAUGAUUUUGAGACAUACGUUGUACAGAUGCGUAAACCCCACAUUUGGGGAGGCGAGCCUGAGUUGCUUAUGUCCUCGCACGUCCUACAGAUACCAAUUACAGUAUAUAUGCGAGACAAGAAUACAAGAAGUCUCAGAAUCAUAGCUGAGUAUGGUCAAGAGUAUGGUAGUGAUAACCCUAUCCGUGUACUUUACCAUGGCUAUGGACACUAUGAUGCAUUGCGUGGUUCAAGUUCAACUAUAGGUGCACCUCCCAAGCAGCUGUAAGAUUUCUGGGUUCUUAUCAUGUCUACUUCAUGGAAUAACUGUAUGCUCCGGCGCGGUCCAAGCAAAGAAGCAGAACGGAGAUGCAAUAGUAGGGCUGUAGUCAUAGUCAGAAUGUUGAUUAACUGUAUUGCUUUGCUAGUUUGCUUAUAGAUUUGGUCAUCUG